rnacentral:lncRNA from 1 species
ACUGCUUUCUUUGGCCUUUCUUGGUUCUUGUUGGAGUCGUUUUCUCUUUUUGGUCAGAUCUUUUGUAUUUCCAAGGGAUAUCUUAUCCUUCAUUGUAACUUCUAUUUAUUUCAAUGAAAUGAUGUGCCUUCUUUUUUUAUUAAGAAAACUUACUAGUAUGGGCAGGAUCUAUCUAUUGGUAAUAGAGGCAUGAUGAAAGAGUUGGGAUAUAUGCUUGUUCAAGGACCCUUAGAUGGUGAUCUCAUAGGUUGCCUUUGGGAUUAGGGAACCUUGAUUCAUCUCCUGAGGGAAAUUUUAGAUUUGUCUGGAAGUCUUUAGGUGGCUUAUAGAUAGGCUUUUAGUUCUUCAACCAAACAUGGACUUUGAGCUACAAGAAGGGUGCAAUGUUUGGAUGUUCUUGCUGGAGACUGCUAGUCCUUUUGAGUUGACUUCUUGCUGCCUUUUUUACUUUUGUUGUUUUUCUUGCUUUUUUAUCUUAGCUUCUUUGUUGCCUUGAAGGGCCCCUCAUCCUUUAUUGCUCUUCCUUUUCCUUUUUAAUGCAAAUUGUGUUUCUAAUAAACAAAACUGUUGUGGUUUUAAACUUUUACCAACAGUCCUGGUGGUGGCUCCAUUACUUUUACGGAUCCAUUCCAGAAAUUGGAUUGGUGCCCUGAAAUGCAAUGGAAGGCUGACAGAGUAAUUUUUAACACACCAUAUUUGCAAGAGCAGAACAGUAGGACCUAUGAGGGGAUGGAGCAUUUGGUGUUUGGUGCAAGCCUUGAAUGAUAUUUUUAUUGGUUCCUUGUUUAUGUGGUCCAGAGGUUGCUUGGAAGCUGAUUGUUCCUCUCUAUUUUGCUUUUAUUGAUCGUAAAGGAUCCUGCUAACUUUUAUGUUUUCUUUUUAGCCUUUUGGCACCCUUUGUAUACUCCUGGUGUACUAGGGCUGUGCUCCUCAUUUUAAUUGAUGAAUGUCAAUGCAUCCUCGUUGAAAAAAAAAAAAAAACAAAUGUACAUAUCAAAG